ensembl:lncRNA
CAGGUGGCUGAAGAUGAGCCAGCAGUGUGCCCAGGUGGCCAAGAAGGCCAAUGGCAUAAGCACCAUUCCUGGCUCAGGAACGCAGGACUAGGGAAGUCAUCCUGCCCCUGGACUCGGCACUGGCGAGGCCUCACCUCGAGUGCAGUGUUCAGUUUUGGGCACCUCAGCACAGAAGGGCCGUUGAGGUGCUGAAGCAGGUUGAAAGAAGGGCAACAAGGCUGGGGAAGGCCUUGGCCAAUAUGCCCUCUGAGGAGUGACUGAAGGAACUGGGGCUGUUUAGUGUGGGGAAAAGGAGGCUGAGGGGAGACCUGAUGGGCUCCCUAUUCCACCCAGGGAGCUGGUUCAGUCACCAUCCCUGAAUGUGUUGAAAACCAGGUGGUGCUCGGGGACAUGAUUGAGCAGGGGCUUGUUAGAGUGAGGCUGGUAUGGUUAGGUUGUGCUUAGACUGGAGGGUCUUGAAGGUCUUUGUGGCGACAAAAACUGCAACCAUCUCAAGCCUGGGGGAAAGGGGCUGACCCCAACGGUCACGCAACCCCCCUGGGGGGAGGGGCUCCCCUAACUGCCACUCUCCAGCUGUCAUGGCAGGUAAGGCAGCAGGCUUCCCCUGCUCCCAUGCUUCAGCUGGCCCCAGCGCUCCAGAUCCCACCCCUGUGCCCAAGAUCCCACCCCUGUAACCCCUGUACCCGAUAUCACCCCAGUGUCCCAGAUCCCACCCCAGCGUCCCAGAUCUCACUCCAGCGCCCCAGAUCCCAGCCCUGUAAGCCCGAUCUCCGCCCUGUGCCCCAGAUCCCACCCCAGCGCCCCAGAGCUCACCCCAGAGCCCAGCCCAGAGCCUACUUUGGCCUUUCCCCACAGAGAGAAUCCCUCGAGGAGCGCUGACGGUGCCUCUGACACCCGACGCCAUUUUCCCUGAAGCGACUGUGCCGCCACCGGACCCCGCCUGGAUGCAGCCCACCAUCCGCGGACCGAUGCCGGUACCACCCCAAGCCCUCCCUGUCCCCACUGCCACCUACCUGGCGCCUCAGGCCUCUGUCUGGCCUGGGGUACCAGGUGUCUGGGGACAGGCAGCGCAGCUCCCCC